rnacentral:rRNA from 1 species
GACAGAGGGUGCAAACGUUGUUCGGAAUUACUGGGCGUAAAGCGCGUGUAGGCGGCUUGGCAAGUCGGGUGUGAAAGCCCCGGGCUCAACCUGGGAAGUGCACUCGAAACUGGUUGGCUUGAAUACUGGAGAGGGAAGCGGAAUUCUCGGUGUAGAGGUGAAAUUCGUAGAUAUCGGGAGGAACACCGGUGGCGAAGGCGGCAACCUGGACUGAUAUUGACGCUGAGACGCGAAAGCGUGGGUAGCAAACAGG